GCCUCCGUAGCUCAGAGGUUAGAGAACUGGUCUUGUAAACCAGAGGUCGUGAGUUCAAUUCUAACUGGGGGCU
rnacentral:tRNA from 1 species